rnacentral:rRNA from 1 species
UGAGGAAUAUUGGACAAUGGGCGAAAGCCUGAUCCAGCCAUGCCGCGUGAGUGAUGAAGGCCCUAGGGUUGUAAAGCUCUUUCGACGGGGAUGAUAAUGACCGUACCCGUAGAAGAAGCCACGGCUAAAUUCGUGCCAGCAGCCGCGGUAAUACGAAUGUGGCAAGCGUUGUUCGGAAUCACUGGGCGUAAAGAAUGCGUAGGCGGCUUGACAAGUCAGGAGUGAAAUCCCAGGGCUCAACCCUGGAACUGCUCUUGAAACUGUCGAGCUAGUGUCCCGGAGGGGUUGACGGAAUUCCGAGUGUAGAGGUGAAAUUCGCAGAUAUUCGGAGGAACACCAGUGGCGUAAGCGGUCAACUGGACGGGUACAGACGCUGAGGCAUGAAAGUGUGGGGAGCAAA